rnacentral:misc_RNA from 1 species
AAGUCGUAACAAGGUUUCCGUAGGUGAACCUGCGGAAGGAUCAUUACCGAACUGUAAACACGAGUUGUUGCUGGUCCUCAAAUCGAGGGCAUGUGCACGCUCUGUUCACACAUCCACUCACACCUGUGCACCCACUGUAGUUCUAUGGCGUGGGGGACUCUGUCCUCCUGCUGUGGUUCUGCGUCUUUACAACACACAAUGUAAUAGUCUCAUGGAAUGUACACCGCGUUUAACGCAAUACAAUACAACUUUCAGCAACGGAUCUCUUGGCUCUC